AUGACAGAGCUGUUAAAGAAGGACACCAAAUUCAAUUGGACUGAGGAAUGUGAAGCUAGUUUCCAAGAGUUGAAGAAAUGUUUGGUUACAUCACCAGUGCUGAUUCUGCCAGAUCAACGCAAGGAUUAUGAAGUAUAUUGCGAAGCUUCACGUCGAGGACUUGGAGCAGUGCUAAUGCAGGAGGGAAGAUUUGUUUCAUAUGCUUCACGACAACUUAAACCCCAUGAGAAGAAUUAUGCCACACAUGAUUUGGAGUUAGCAGCCGUAGUGCAUGCGUUGAAGACAUGGAGACAUUUUCUCAUCGGAAACCAUUGUGAGGUGUACACGGAUCACAAGAGUUUGAAGUACAUUUUCACGCAGAAGGAGUUGAAUCUCAGGCAAAGGAGAUGGUUGGAG
rnacentral:rRNA from 1 species